CCGUGGCGGGCGCAGCGUUUGGGCGUGAAGCAGCGCUGCGUGUUGUUGUGAAGGUCUCCGAUGUAGUAAUGAAGAGUUGCCGACAGAACGUCCUCAGACUGGGUGAGGGAGGGUUCGGUUUUUUGGAGGCUUGUCUGGGAUUGAGUGAGCAGUCUGUGAUCUUGGUAGAAUAAAAAAAGCUGGAGGAUGUGAAGUGGAGCCACAGCUGGACUCAUAAAUCUAACAAAUGACAAGGUUUUCCAACUCAGUUUUCCAGUUUUCAUGCAGAACGUUGAGAACAUCUAGCUUCUUUGACACAGACCUUUCAUCUCCAUUACUGUGCUGCACAACCGAAAGUCAGCAGUUUCCCCCAUGAUUGAGUGGACAAUAAGAUAUUUCUGUGUAAAAUCUGUUUAUUAUUCUCAUGUAUUGUAAUUUUCUGAGAAAUUUAAUGCUGUAUUUUCCAAAAGCUCUAACCCAAAAUCUUAAAAAUGAAUCUAAAUAAAUGCU